GACGAACGCUGGCGGCGUGCCUAAUACAUGCAAGUAGAACGCUGAAGCUUGGUGCUUGCACCGAGCGGAUGAGUUGCGAACGGGUGAGUAACGCGUAGGUAACCUGCCUGGUAGCGGGGGAUAACUAUUGGAAACGAUAGCUAAUACCGCAUAAGAGUAGAUGUUGCAUGACAUUUGCUUAAAAGGUGCAAUUGCAUCACUACCAGAUGGACCUGCGUUGUAUUAGCUAGUUGGUGAGGUAACGGCUCACCAAGGCAACGAUACAUAGCCGACCUGAGAGGGUGAGCGGCCACACUGGGACUGAGACACGGCCCAGACUCCUACGGGAGGCAGCAGUAGGGAAUCUUCGGCAAUGGACGGAAGUCUGACCGAGCAACGCCGCGUGAGUGAAGAAGGGUUUCGGAUCGUAAAGCUCUGUUGUAAGAGAAGAACGAGUGUGAGAGUGGAAAGUUCACACUGUGACGGUAUCUUACCAGAAAGGGACGGCUAACUACGUG
rnacentral:rRNA from 1 species